rnacentral:lncRNA from 1 species
GAGUAUUUGGUUUAGGAUUACAAGAGGGGGAGGGGCAGGUCACAGGGCCUUGGAAGUUUCUCUUUUGGUGUAUACUGGUACUUUCCACACCCACAAUUCAUUGAACUGUCUUUUUCCGUUGUUCCGCUAGUUCUGGAAAAUCUACAAUUUAUUGUAUUGUUGUUCAAUGCUGUAUCGCCUUUUUUUUUGCCCCAUAUUUCCAAAAAAAUCCAAAAUGCUUCAUGAAAAUCUUGAUAUCCCGGCAUUACAACAGAAACACCUGUCUACAUCCUACUAUAUCUGUUCCAAUCACAAAUUGUAAUCCUGGCCAUAUACAUGCACUUUACUUGCUUUAAAAUUUAUCCAUGUUAUAAGUAAUUAUAUACUUACAUCUAAAUAAAAUCGAAACACAUUCAUAUAGGCCUCCCGUCCUACUAUAUCUGUUCCGAUCACAAAUUGUAAUCCUGGCCAUAUACAUGCACUUUACUUGCUUUAAAAUUUAUCCAUGUUAUAGAUAAUUAUAUACUUACAUCUAAAUAAAAUCGAAACACAUUCAUAUAGGCCUCCUUUUGUUUCAGUGAUUUUAUAGGUAUUUCAACUUCUACGGAACUAUGUUACAACUAGUUCCAUGGAAAAUAAAGUAUAAGUGUUUUGUUCACCACUAUGUAACUGGUACUCACUUGUUUUCUUUU